rnacentral:rRNA from 1 species
CCUACGGGAGGCAGCAGUGGGGAAUUUUGGACAAUGGGCGCAAGCCUGAUCCAGCAAUGCCGCGUGAGUGAAGAAGGCCUUCGGGUUGUAAAGCUCUUUUGUCAGGGAAGAAACGGUGGGGGCUAAUAUCUCCCACUAAUGACGGUACCUGAAGAAUAAGCACCGGCUAACUACGUGCCAGCAGCCGCGGUAAUACGUAGGGUGCAAGCGUUAAUCGGAAUUACUGGGCGUAAAGCGUGCGCAGGCGGUUUUGUAAGUUUGUCGUGAAAUCCCCGGGCUCAACCUGGGAAUGGCGAUGAAGACUGCAAGGCUAGAAUCUGGCAGAGGGGGGUAGAAUUCCACGUGUAGCAGUGAAAUGCGUAGAGAUGUGGAGGAACACCGAUGGCGAAGGCAGCCCCCUGGGUCAAGAUUGACGCUCAUGCACGAAAGCGUGGGGAGCAAACAGGAUUAGAUACCCUGGUAGUCCACGCCCUAAACGAUGUCUACUAGUUGUCGGGUUUUAAUUAACUUGGUAACGCAGCUAACGCGUGAAGUAGACCGCCUGGGGAGUACGGUCGCAAGAUUAAAACGUCAAAAGUAGUAAGUUGGACGUCGUAGACGACGUCGACCGAGGACCAACGACGGGAGGGAGGUUAGGG